rnacentral:rRNA from 1 species
UGUUACCUACGGGGGGCAGCAGUGAGGAAUAUUGGUCAAUGGGCGAGAGCCUGAACCAGCCACGUCGCGUGAGGGAAGACGGGCCUAUGGAUUGUAAACCUCUUUUGCCGGGGAGCAAAAAGCGGUACGUGUACCGCAUAGAGAGUACCCGGAGAAAAAGCAUCGGCUAACUCCGUGCCAGCAGCCGCGGUAAUACGGAGGAUGCGAGCGUUAUCCGGAUUUAUUGGGUUUAAAGGGUGCGCAGGCGGCGUGUUAAGUCAGCGGUAAAAUUUCGGGGCUCAACC